rnacentral:rRNA from 1 species
UGGGGAAUUUUGGACAAUGGGGGCAACCCUGAUCCAGCAAUGCCGCGUGAGUGAAGAAGGCCUUCGGGUUGUAAAGCUCUUUUGGCAGGAAAGAAAUCGCGCAAAUUAAUACUUUGCGUGGAUGACGGUACCUGCAAAAGAAGCACCGGCUAACUAUGUGCCAGCAGCCGCGGUAAUACAUAGGGUGCAAGCGUUGUCCGGAAUUAUUGGGCGUAAAGAGCUCGUAGGUGGUUCGUCACGUCGGAUGUGAAAAUCUGGGGCUCAACCCCAGACCUGCAUUCGAUACGGGCGAGCUAGAGUGUGGUAGGGGAGACUGGAAUUCCUGGUGUAGCGGUGGAAUGCGCAGAUAUCAGGAGGAACACCAAUGGCGAAGGCAGGUCUCUGGGCCAUUACUGACACUGAGGAGCGAAAGCGUGGGGAGCGAACAGG